rnacentral:lncRNA from 1 species
AAAUUGGAGAUGAUAAUCAUUGUACUCUCCAAAAACAAAUUCAUUCAUCUUCCAAAAUGCCAAUAGUAGAUUAAAUUGAUAAAUUAAGUGAAGAGAGAAAAGUUUGAAAAGUUACAAGCCUCCACCUAAUACAAUCCGCAUAAGAACACUUUUUGAUCUCUCCACCACAUCCACGAGACCGUACUGAUUCUUUAAAAAAAAAAGGACAAAAAAAUCUAAAAAUUAUGAAAUAAAGAAAGGAAAACAAGAAGAACAAAAACUGAUUAUCUAAUGCUUCCCUGAGCUAAUGGUUGGUUGUUACUCCGCGAGAGAUGCCUGAAGAGGUGGCGACGAACCUCGACGAGAAUGUAUAGUAAAAGUUGGUCGAGUCAUCGUCGAUCGCGGUCCCGAAGCCAUGAUCGAAGUUGCGAGAGUAGCUCAAGGCAUCAUAUUGGCAGUGGAAUGCGGUGGGCCUUGUGGCCAUGCACAGCUGCUUGCUCCUCUUCCUCAGCUUCCUCAUGAGCCUGCCAAUGCCGCAGCUCCUGCAAUGGCUAUCGGUGGCCGUCGCAGCGGUGGUGGGGGUUGCGCCGCCGCCUCUAGGACUGGUGGUGGUGGUGGAACCUUGCUUCUGGCACCAGAAGACGCCAAUGUGUGCCAUCUCUCUCUCUCUGUGAGAGAUGGCUAGAAAUCC